AUGGCCAAGGCAGCAUACCACCACUUCUCCUCGCUUCUUGGCACUCCAAGACCCCGUGAUUUCUCCCUCGGCCUGCAACAGAUUGACCACCGCUCCUUUGAUCUCGAGGAGCUUGAGCUGCCUUUCUCUGAGGAGGAAAUCUGGACUGCGGUUAAGGCACUCCCCCGUGGAAUAGCCCCGGGCCCCGAUGGAUUCACGGCCGAAUUCCUUGUGGCGUGCUGGGCUACAAUCAAAGCCGACGUCUGCGAGGUGUUCGACAAGUUCUACGCCAUGAACGGGCAUAGCCUCCAGCACCUAAAUGAAACCCUAAUCACACUGAUCCCGAAGAAGCCGGACGCCUCCUCUCUCUCGGACUACCGCCCCAUCAGCCUCAUCCACCUGAUCGCGAAGAUCAUCGCCAAAGUCCUCUCACUAUGCCUCGCCCCUCACCCCUCGCCUGAGCCAGCUCGUCUCCUCCAACCAAAGUGCAUUCAUCGCUGGGCGGUGCGUGCACGACAAUUUUAUGCUGGUCCAGCAGACCGCCCGCCGGCUUCAUAA
rnacentral:rRNA from 1 species